UGGGUCACGUGGUUAAUUUAGGCCGUGCUGCCACCUGGAAAAAACUUAGUAGCGUCAAAUCGUAAAAAGCUAAACUCGGUUUAGCUUUUUAUGCUGAGGGUGGAGCGUCAAUUUACAAAUAAUAUAAUCGAACUCGAAAAUAAUCGAUUUUGACAAAGUUUAAGAAGCCAAAUUAUUUAUUUCUGUGUUAAAUAAAUGUCUGUUUGAAUAUUGAAUAAAUAUAGAAUAAUAUUAAUUUUAGAAGGCAAAUGCAAUGGCACUGUUUGAAGAUUUCGUCGAUAGUAUGAAGAAAGAGUUGGGAAGACGGCUUCGACAAAUCCAUGCUCUCGUCGUAAUUUAAAUAAAGGAUGGAUCCAAAAUUUCUUUGCUAGGUGGAGCUAUAGUUUGACGCUCAAAGCUAGCGUCAAGCGUCAUCAUGAGGUUACAACUUAACUGUAGUGAUAGUUUAUAUGUAAGGUAAAGGACCCAGUAGUUGAGCUAAUAAAAUAUAUAUGGAAAUAUCAAAAUGAUUGUAA